rnacentral:pre_miRNA from 1 species
AAAAUACUCGCUUCGUUCGGAAAUACUUGUCGGAGAAAUGGAUGUAUCUAGAUGUAUUUUAGUUUUAGAUGCAUCCAUUUAUAUCCAUUUUUGCGACAAGUAUUUUCAGACAGAGGAUCAGCAUAUU